rnacentral:rRNA from 1 species
GGGCUUACGCAGCGUCCUGCAGUCGAGCGGUACAGGGGAAGCUUGCUUCUCUCUGACAAGCGCCGGACAGGUGAGAAAUGUGUGGGGAUCUGCCCCAUAUAGGGGGAUAACUACUGGAAACGGGGGGUAUUACCCCACAAUCUCUCAAGAGCCCAGCACGGGAACUCCUCUCCUUGUGCUCUCUCAUAAGCCCCUAUGGGAUAUUCUCUUAUGUGAGGUGAUGGGUCUCCUCUGCGACAAUACCUCUCUGUGCUGAGAGAAUAAUCUCCCCCACUGUGACUGAGACACGGCCCCCACACCCCCAGGAGGCGCCACUGGGGAAAAUUGUGCACUGGGCGCACGGAUUCCUGAGGCGCCCCUGUGCCGUGUGUGAAAAAAGCCCUUUGGGUGUGAAGUACUUUUUCUCCGGAGAAAAGGGUGAUUGCUAUUAUCCUCUUCUCUUGUGAUUACCCCCACAAAAAACACCGCCUAUCUCUCCGCCCCCACCCGCGCUAUUACAGAGAGUGCGCGCGUGAUUCUCAAUAAUUGUGCGUAUAGCGCACACCAGACGCGCGGGAUAAUGUUACAUAUGUGAUCCCCCGCUUUCUUGGGAAAGUCGUCUCUGACUCUGCUGCUCUAGACUCGUGUAGGGGGUAUAAUUUAUGUGUGUCGCUGUGAUGUGUAUAGAUAUGUAGAAAUAUAGGUGUGGCGAGCGCGCCCCCGGACACAGACAGACACUCUCGUGCGCGAGCGUGGUGAGCGCAACGAUAUAGAUUCCCUUGUAGUCCAAGCUGGAAACCGAGUCCGAUUAGAAGGUUUUGUCCUGGAGGGGUGCCUUUCGGAGUUAACGCGUUAAUUCGCCCCCUGGGGGAGUCCGGCCCCAAGGUUAAAAUUCAAAUGAAUUGCGGGGGGCCCCCCCAACCGGUGGACCAUGGGGUUUAUUUGGAUGCAACGGGAAGACCCUUCCUUAUUUUUGCCUUCCACGGAUCUUAGCAGAGAUGCUGUGGUCCUUUCGGGAAGUCUGAGCCAGGUCUGCCAGGGUGUUGUUCAGUUCGUGUUGGGAAAUUUUGGGUUAAUUCCCCCAACGAGCCCAACCCUUUUCUUUUUUUCCCACCGAUUCGGUCGGGAACUCAAAGGAGACUGCCGGUGAUAAACCGGAGGAAGGUGGGGAUGACGUCAAGUCAUCAUGGCCCUUACGAGUAGGGCUACACACGUGCUACAAUGGCGGAUACAAAGAGAAGCGACCUCGCGAGAGCAAGCGGAACUCAUAAAGUACGUCGUAGUCCGGAUUGGAGUCUGCAACUCGACUCCAUGAAGUCGGAAUCGCUAGUAAUCGUAGAUCAGAAUGCUACGGUGAAUACGUUCCCGGGCCUUGUACACACCGCCCGUCACACCAUGGGAGUGGGUUGCAAAAGAAGUAGGUAGCUUAACCUUCGGGAGGGCGCCAUACAGCUGUUGAUUCCGGACUCG